rnacentral:rRNA from 1 species
UACGGGGGGGGCAAGCGUUGUUCGGAAUUACUGGGCGUAAAGGGCUCGUAGGCGGCCAACUAAGUCAGACGUGAAAUCCCCAGGCUCAACCUGGGAACUGCGUCUGAUACUGGAUGGCUUGAAUUCGGGAGAGGGAUGCAGAAUUCCAGGUGUAGCGGUGAAAUGCGUAGAGAUCUGGAGGAACACCCGUGGCGAAGGCGGCGCCCUGGUCCGUUACUGACGCUGAGACGCGAAAGCGCGGGGAGCGAAACGGG